rnacentral:rRNA from 1 species
AGAGUUUGAUCCUGGCUCAGGAUGAACCUUUGGCGGCGUGCCUAACACAUGCAAGUCGAACGGGGACAGACGGAAACCUAGUGAAGUCUGUCCGAGUGGCGGACGGGUGAGUAACGCGUGGAUAACCUGCCGCAUGCAGGGGGAUACCGGCUGGAAACAGCCGCUAAUACCGCAUAAGCGCACGGUGCCGCAUGGCAGAGUGCGAAAAGGAGAAAUCCGGCAAGCGAUGGAUCCGCGUCCGAUUAGCCAGUUGGCGGGGUAAGGGCCCACCAAAGCGACGAUCGGUAGCCGGCCUGAGAGGGCGGACGGCCACAUUGGGACUGAGACACGGCCCAUACUCCUACGGGAGGCAGCAGUGGGGGAUAUUGCACAAUGGGGGAAACCCUGAUGCAGCGACGCCGCGUGGGUGAAGAAGUAUUUCGGUAUGUAAAGCCCUAUCAGCAGGGAAGAAAGAAGACGGUACCUGACUAAGAAGCCCCGGCUAACUACGUGCCAGCAGCCGAGGUAAUACGUAGGGGGCGAGCGUUAUCCGGAUUCACUGGGUGUAAAGGGAGCGUAGACGGCCGUGCAAGCCAGGAGUGAAAGCCCGGGGCCCAACCCCGGGACUGCUCUUGGAACUGUGCGGCUGGAGUGCGGGAGGGGCAGGCGGAAUUCCUGGUGUAGCGGUGAAAUGCGUAGAUAUCAGGAGGAACACCGGCGGCGAAGGCGGCCUGCUGGACCGCGACUGACGUUGAGGCUCGAAAGCGUGGGGAGCGAACAGGAUUAGAUACCCUGGUAGUCCACGCCGUAAACGAUGACUACUAGGUGUCGGGGCACGACAGUGCUUCGGUGCCGGCGCAAACGCAAUAAGUAGUCCACCUGGGGAGUACGUCCGCAAGGAUGAAACUCAAAGGAAUUGACGGGGACCCGCACAAGCGGUGGAGCAUGUGGUUUAAUUCGAAGCAACGCGAAGAACCUUACCUGGCCUUGACAUCCCGGUGAAUGCAGGGUAAUGCCUGCAGCCUUUCGGGGCAGCGGAGACAGGUGGUGCAUGGUUGUCGUCAGCUCGUGUCGUGAGAUGUUGGGUCAUGUCCCGCAACGAGCGCAACCCCUGCCCCUAGUAGCCAGCACGUAAAGGUGGGCACUCUAGGGGGACUGCCGGGGACAACCCGGAGGAGGGCAGGGACGACGUCAAAUCAUCAUGCCCCUUAUGGCCAGGGCUACACACGUGCUACAAUGGCGUGCACAGAGGGAAGCAAAGCGGCGACGCCAAGCAAAGCCCGGAAAGCACGCCCCAGUUCGGAUUGCAGCCUGCAACUCGGCUGCAUGAAGCCGGAAUCGCUAGUAAUCGCGGAUCAGAACGCCGCGGUGAAUACGUUCCCGGGUCUUGCACUCACCGCCCGUCA